CUGCUUUUGUACCGGAAUAAACCCCUUUACGUGUAAAGGGCUGAAUGUACGGUAAGAAUAAGGAUCGGCUAACUCCGUGCCAGCAGCCGCGGUAAUACGGAGGAUCCAAGCGUUAUCCGGAUUUAUUGGGUUUAAAGGGUGCGCAGGCGGCCUGUUAAGUCAAGGGUGAAAGACGGUGGCUCAACCAUCGCAGUGCCUUUGAUACUGACGGGCUUGAUUACACAUGAGGCAGGCGGAAUGUGACAAGUAGCGGUGAAAUGCAUAGAUAUGUCACAGAACUCCGAUUGCGAAGGCAGCUUACUAAAGUGUAAAUGACGCUGAGGCACGAAAGCGUGGGGAUCAAACAGGAUUAGAUACCCUGGUAGUCCACGCCCUAAACGAUGAAUACUCGAUGUUGGCGAUAUACAGUCAGCGUCCAAGCGAAAGCGUUAAGUAUUCCACCUGGGGAGUACGUCCGCAAGGGUGAAACUCAAAGGAAUUGACGGGGGCCCGCACAAGCGGUGGAGCAUGUGGUUUAAUUCGAUGAUACGCGAGGAACCUUACCUAGGCUAGAAUGCGCGUGACCGCUCCAGAGAUGGGGCUUCCCUUCGGGGCACAAAGCAAGGUGCUGCAUGGCUGUC
rnacentral:rRNA from 1 species